rnacentral:rRNA from 1 species
AUUGAACGCUGGCGGCAGGCCUAACACAUGCAAGUCGAGCGAUUUUGGCUUCGGUCAGAAGAGCGGCGAACGGGUGAGUAACACGUAGGAAUCUGCCUGGUAGUGGGGGACAACGUCUCGAAAGGGACGCUAAUACCGCAUACGCCCUACGGGGGAAAGCUGGGGACCUUCGGGCCUAGCGCUAUCAGAUGAGCCUGCGUCGGAUUAGCUAGUUGGUAGGGUAAAGGCCUAACAAGGCGAAGAUCCGUAACUGGUCUGAGAGGAUGAUCAGUCACACCGGAACUGAGACACGGUCCGGACUCCUACGGGAGGCAGCAGUGGGGAAUAUUGGACAAUGGGGGCAACCCUGAUCCAGCCAUGCCGCGUGUGUGAAGAAGGCCUUCGGGUUGUAAAGCACUUUUGUUGGGGAGAAUGGUAGACUAGGUUAAGAGCUAGGUUUAUUGAUGUUACCCAAAGAAUAAGCACCGGCUAACUCCGUGCCAGCAGCCGCCGUAAAAC